UACGAAGGGGGCUAGCGUUGCUCGGAAUCACUGGGCGUAAAGGGUGCGUAGGCGGGUCUUUAAGUCAGAGGUGAAAUCCCAGAGCUCAACUUUGGAACUGCCUUUGAAACUCCCAGUCUUGAGGUCGAGAGAGGUGAGUGGAAUUCCGAGUGUAGAGGUGAAAUUCGUAGAUAUUCGGAGGAACACCAGUGGCGAAGGCGGCUCACUGGCUCGAUACUGACGCUGAGGUGCGAAAGCGUGGGGAGCAAACAGG
rnacentral:rRNA from 1 species